GAUCUCGUGCUGUAGUGGUUAUCACAUCUGUCUUACACACAGAAGGUCGGCGGUUCGAGCCCGCCCGAGAUCA
rnacentral:tRNA from 2 species